GUGAGGAAUAUUGGUCAAUGGACGCGAGUCUGAACCAGCCAAGUAGCGUGAAGGAUGACUGCCCUAAGGGUUGUAAACUUCUUUUAUAAGGGAAUAAAGUGAGGGACGUGUCCCUUUUUGUAUGUACCUUAUGAAUAAGGAUCGGCUAACUCCGUGCCAGCAGCCGCGGUAAUACGGAGGAUCCAAGCGUUAUCCGGAUUUAUUGGGUUUAAAGGGAGCGUAGGUUGACAUAUAAGUCAGCUGUGAAAGUUUACGGCUCAACCGUGAAAUUGCAGUUGAUACUGUAUGUCUUGAGUGUACAAGAGGUGGGCGGAAUUCGUGGUGUAGCGGUGAAAUGCUUAGAUAUCACGAAGAACUCCAAUUGCGAAGGCAGCUCACUGGGGUACAACUGACACUGAGGCUCGAAAGUGUGGGUAUCAAACAGGAUUAGAUACCCGAGUAGUCC
rnacentral:rRNA from 1 species